GGAUCAGAAAACAAAACCAGGAUGACCAUAAAUGUUUCUUCUCCAAUUGGAUGAUGAUAAGACCGUGACACGGAAUGCCACCUUUAGUCUUGUGAUGAAGCAAAGCUCAGGAAGAAGUGUGAUUAAAUGGUACCCACAUGUGUGCUGCUGAGAAGGAUGUACAGGGGCACCUGCAGCCAAAUCCAAGCCUCCUCAGAGCAGAGCAGCAGUUUGUGCUCACAGAUGGUGACGGUGUGGAGAGACGGUGGUGUUUCCUCAGAAGAACCAGCAGAGUCACAAAGGGCACGAGUCCAUCUCACCACCUUGACUUGUUGAUCAGUGGAUACACUUGUCUCCCCUUUAAAGGAGACACUCUUAGAGAGCAACGAUCUGAGUCAUCCUUAAAUAUGGGCAGGAUAUCAGUCUUGGACUGUCUAACCUGCCGGAGCAGCACUGAAUGACCACCACACAUGAUCAGUUCCUGCAACAUUCAGCAGCUCUGCUUUUGUGUCAAAUGUCCAACAGCUGGAGAGGAAACUACACCAGUGUACUGGGAUGUUUCACCAACACGUGCCAGACGCUGUUCCUUCAUGGUGACAUCACUAGAGACGGCCCCGCCCACCUCAGGACCUCGCCAUUGAUCAUGAUGAUUUUAAUGAUGACAGCGAGCGAAACUAAGACUGUAAAAAUCAGAAUGUUUAGAUGCUUUCUAAUUAUUAAUGAAUACUGAGAGCCUCUUUCUGUUUUGUCUGUUUGUUUGUUUUUACCUGAUUUGUUACUAACAAAGUUCACCAAACUCACACAGUUUACAUUCUGUAUGUUUCCAUCUUUACCAGCCACAGGCUAACUGCAUUUAGAAAACAAACCUUAGAAAUCGUCGUUUUUCUCUUUUGUAAUUUUGUAAUUCAGUGAAUAUACUGCGCUGCUUCCUUUUAUUGUGUCUCACAUUGCUUUAAGUUUUUCAGUGUCCAGUUAUCUUUUACUGCUGUUUGAAUUCUCUGCAUGUUUGACCCUGUAGACUGUUUGAUGGACUGCUUGUCUGCCUGUUUGUAACCGACGCCUGUUUUUGACUAAAGAUUUGGAUUUCUGACUUUAA